rnacentral:rRNA from 1 species
UACGUAGGUCCCGAGCGUUGUCCGGAUUUAUUGGGCGUAAAGCGAGCGCAGGUGGUUUAUUAAGUCUGGUGUAAAAGGCAGUGGCUCAACCAUUGUAUGCAUUGGAAACUGGUUGACUUGAGUGCAGAAAAGGGAAGUGGAAUUCCAUGUGUAGCGGUGAAAUGCGUAGAGAUAUGGAGGAACACCAGUGGCGAAGGCGGCUUCCUGGUCUGCAACUGACACUGAGGCGCGAAAGCGUGGGGAGCAAACAGG